rnacentral:rRNA from 1 species
UACGUAGGGGGCUAGCGUUGUCCGGAAUCAUUGGGCGUAAAGAGCGUGUAGGCGGUUCGGUAAGUCCGCUGUGAAAGUCGGGGGCUCAACCCUCGAAUGCCGGUGGAUACUGUCGGGCUAGAGUACGGAAGAGGCGAGUGGAAUUCCUGGUGUAGCGGUGAAAUGCGCAGAUAUCAGGAGGAACACCGAUGGCGAAGGCAGAUCUCUGGGCCGUAACUGACGCUGAGGAGCGAAAGCAUGGGGAGCGAACAGG